UACGGAGGGGGCUAGCGUUAUUCGGAAUUACUGGGCGUAAAGCGCACGUAGGCGGAUCGUAAAGUCAGAGGUGAAAUCCCAGGGCUCAACCUUGGAACUGCCUUUGAAACUUCCGAUCUUGAGUUCGAGAGAGGUGAGUGGAAUUCCGAGUGUAGAGGUGAAAUUCGUAGAUAUUCGGAGGAACACCAGUGGCGAAGGCGGCUCACUGGCUCGAUACUGACGCUGAGGUGCGAAAGCGUGGGGAGCAAACAGG
rnacentral:rRNA from 1 species